GGCCGGGUACGCAAACUGGCAAAGCGGUCGCGUCGAGAGCGCGGCGAUUUUGUGGGUUCAACUCCCACCUCGGUCAC
rnacentral:tRNA from 1 species